AAAAUUGAAGACAGCCGAAGAAGAAAAAUAAAACGGAAGAUGGUAGGAAGCGAUACGAUCGACUCUGUUUUUUAUUUUUCCCUUUUUCUCCUCCGUACUAUAUAUCUACCUGCAUGCUAUUUUAUAAUAUUUUAUUUUUUUUAAUUCAUGGAG
rnacentral:ribozyme from 16 species